AUUGAACGCUGGCGGUAUGCUUAAGACAUGCAAGUCGAACGGUAACAGACCUUGGUGCUGACGAGUGGCGGACGGGUGAGUAACACGUGGGAAUCUACCUUGUAGUGGGGGAUAAGCCAGGGAAACUUGGACUAAUACCGCAUACGCCCUAAGGGGGAAAGGAGUAAUUCGCUAUAAGAUGAGCCCGCGUCUGAUUAGCUAGUUGGUGAGGUAAAGGCUCACCAAGGCGACGAUCAGUAGCUGGUCUGAGAGGAUGACCAGCCACAUUGGGACUGAGACACGGCCCAGACUCCUACGGGAGGCAGCAGUCGGGAAUAUUGGACAAUGGGGGCAACCCUGAUCCAGCAAUACCGCGUGUGUGAAGAAGGCCUGCGGGUUGUAAAGCACUUUUAGUAGGGAAGAUAAUGACGUUACCUACAGAAAAAGCACCGGCUAACUCCGUGCCAGCAGCCGCGGUAAGGUGACGCUCU
rnacentral:rRNA from 1 species